UGCGGAAGGAUCAUUAAAGAGUAAGGGUGCUCAGCGCCCGACCUCCAACCCUUUGUUGUUAAAACUACCUUGUUGCUUUGGCGGGACCGCUCGGUCUCGAGCCGCUGGGGAUUCGUCCCAGGCGAGCGCCCGCCAGAGUUAAACCAAACUCUUGUUAUUUAACCGGUCGUCUGAGUUAAAAUUUUGAAUAAAUCAAAACUUUCAACAACGGAUCUCUUGGUUCUCGCAUCGAUGAAGAACGCAGCGAAAUGCGAUAAGUAAUGUGAAUUGCAGAAUUCAGUGAAUCAUCGAAUCUUUGAACGCACAUUGCGCCCCUUGGUAUUCCGAGGGGCAUGCCUGUUCGAGCGUCAUUACACCACUCAAGCUAUGCUUGGUAUUGGGCGUCGUCCUUAGUUGGGCGCGCCUUAAAGACCUCGGCGAGGCCACUCCGGCUUUAGGCGUAGUAGAAUUUAUUCGAACGUCUGUCAAAGGAGAGGAACUCUGCCGACUGAAACCUUUAUUUUUCUAGGUUGACCUCGGAUCAGGUAGGGAUACCCGCUGAACUUAA
rnacentral:misc_RNA from 1 species